rnacentral:rRNA from 1 species
AGAGAUAGAGGGUGCUCGAAAGAGAGCCGUAACACAGGUGCUGCAUGGCUGUCGUCAGCUCGUGUCGUGAGAUGUUGGGUUAAGUCCCGCAACGAGCGCAACCCUUGUCAUUAGUUGCUACAUUCAGUUGGGCACUCUAAUGAGACUGCCGGUGACAAGCCGGAGGAAGGUGGGGAUGACGUCAAGUCCUCAUGGCCCUUAUAGGUGGGGCUACACACGUCAUACAAUGGCUGGUACAAAGGGUUGCCAACCCGCGAGGGGGAGCCAAUCCCAUAAAGCCAGUCGUAGUCCGGAUCGUAGUCCGCAACUCGACUACGUGAAGUCGGAAUCGCUAGUAAUCGUGGAUCAGAAUGUCACGGUGAAUACGUUCCCGGGUCUU